AAAGAGACGGUGCUCUAGCUCCACUACUAGAAACAUGACUUUCAGCGAUGGAAUUAGAGACGGAAUCUAUCUGUAGCAAAUCAGAGACGGAUUAUUGAGGGAACAGCGACCGAACUCACAAAUAUUUCGAACAAAAUACUUAUAGAAUUUCAGAGAGGUAUUAGCGAUGGAUCAAUGACAGAUUUGUAAGGAUUUAUUGACAAAAAAAUGUUUGCUCGCUAAUCCGUCGCAAAUUAAAACAUCCUAACGAGAGAACAACGACGGAUUACUAAAAUCACACACCUUUUUUUUGGCCUUCGCCAAUCUCUCGCAGAAAAUGGGCAACUCCUGUUUUUCAUUCCCCGCUUUUCUUUGUUUUUCCGUUCCCUCCUUUUAUUUCCAUUCCUGCUUCUCUUUUUUUUUUUUUUCAAUCCCCCAUUUUAUUUUAAUUCCCUCUACCUUUUUCCCAAAGCUCUGAACAAUUUCAUCCCAAAUCCCUAAUCGAAUCUCUGUCCACUGAAAUCCCUCCUCUGCCCAGAAAAUCACCUCCACCACCGUCCACUUGCAUCGUCCCCUGUUGACCCACUUUUUCCCCUGCCAACGCCAUUCCUUUAUCCUCGAUCGUAAACACGAGAAAAUCUCAAGUAGUCUUCAUCAGCUCCUAAUUUUGGUUUCUACUGGUGUAUAAGAGGCUUCUAAACAUGUAAGGAUCAAAUUCAAACCACUACAAUUACAAUUUAUUAUUAUUUUUUCUUUUUAUUAUUGUAAGCUCCCAGGUCAAAAUAUUUUCGGUAUAUUUUAGUAAUCGUGUCUCUGAUUGCUUGAAUUUCGAACUUGUGAGAUUGCCAGAGGUUUUAUGUGAUAAUUUUCGGUAUUAGAUUAGACGUUAUUGGAAAAGUUGAGACUGUUUUGUCUAGUUAUUUUCCUUUUCAAGUUUUUUGUAAAUCUAAAUGAGACGCCUGUUUUAUUACUGUUGUCCAGAGCUUCUUUCUAGCCAUGACGAAGAUUGUCGGGACCUUGGGCCCGAAAUCGCGAGCUGUUGAAAUCAUUUCGAGCUGCCUUCAAGUUGUUGCACGGUUUGAUUUUCAAUAAGGUGACAUUGAAUUUCAUCAAGAGACAUUGGAAAAUCUUAAAAUGGCUAUCAAGAGCUUGAAAAAACUACGUGUUGUCUUCUUUGUUUUCAUGCUUUCUGAUACUUCAAACUACGAUUCCCAUAUGAAGAUAGGACUUCUGUUUUCAGAAGGACAGUGUGAUUAAAAAUAGUGAUGGGAUAUGAAACAAAUAGAUUUUCUCUUACAUCACUACUAGAGGAAGGACGGAAAUGGGACAUCUGGUGGAAGGUAUGCGAUCUCUUCAGUGAAUCAAUAUAAUCAAUCACAAUUCAGGUCAGUGGUUUCCAUUAAUUGGAAAUUUUGGAUGUCUGCAAAAAACUUCAGGUCAGUGCAUCACAAUUCACAUGCUUGGGAGACUUGUAGUCUGCUUCUUUACACAACUUUUUUUUUUAUUUCACUUCCAUUUUCUCGUAUGCUGAAUCAUUUAUGUUCCGGGUUUAGGCUUAGGUGGAACACAGUCAAAUCCUUCCUUGAUCUAAAGACUACUACCAAGAUUCAUGUAAGUUAUUUCCAAUUUUUUUACCUAAAAAAUAAUUGCAUUUUUGUAAAAAAUGGUUGAGUUGACAAGGAAUGUUUGGGACCAGAAAAGAAACAAUCUUUGUCUAUCAGCACUUACUCCAGACAUAACUAAGAAGGGUAAAACGGUCAUUUUAUUGCAUUUAUAUGAAUUAUGUAUUCCUCUUUUACAUACAAACUGAACUGAAUGAAGAUACCCAAUAUACAAAGAACUUUGAGGCAAUCCACAAUUUCAAGUUCGGGCUAAUACUAGUUUUGUAUCAAUUGAAGAUGUAAUUAAGGUAUUCUUUUCAAAUAUAUCGAAAUUUCUUUCCCAAAAAAUAUAUAUUGACAAUUGUCAGCUUAUGAGCCAUCCUUGAUCUUUUAAGCUAUGUCCAAUGGAUUUUUGGUCAAGAAUCAUUAAAUCAUGUGGAGUUGUUUUUUUUUUUUUUUUUUUUUUUUUUUUUUUUUUUGUUAUUAUGAGGUUUAGUGAUAAGUUUUCCCUUCAUCUUUAGGUAUUUUUGUUCAGGUGGAACUUUCGAUUAGAUGAUUCCCUUAACAACAAGCUGGAAUGAUAAGUUUUCUGAUUUCCCACUUUUGUAUUUUUAUUAGGGGAAUGUUCUCAUUGCUGUUCUUUCAAAUUGCAUGGUUGACAUUGAUUAGAUGAUGCUUCAUCUUUAGGACCUUUUUGUUCAGGUGGAACUUUUGAUGAUGAGUAUAAGGACAUUUCUGUCUUUUUCACUUUUCCAGAUGGGACAAAAAUUGCAAAUUUUGUCAGAUUGACAUCAAUCCAAUUCACACCAAACAAGAGUUCUUGUGGUACAUGUCUUGAUAAAGGUAGUUAUAGGCAAUCAGAGAAGGGCACAAUGAAAGACCUAGAGACCAAGGAAAAGUAAGUGGAACUUGGUUCGCCUAAUUCCAUGGGAUUAAACGUGAAUUGGAAUCCAAUUCCAUUCCGAUCCUUAAUCGGAUGCAAGUUAUCAAGCAAUGUUAAACUUUGAUAUUAAGUGUUUUUGGUAAACUUUUGAUAGUUGAUUUUUUGGUAUUUUAAUGUUAAUGUUUGGUUUUAGAUUGUAAAAUUAUUGGAUGCUUUUGGUAUUUAAAUGUUAAUGUUUGGUUUAUGUUUGUAUAA